GAUGAACGCUGGCGGCGUGCCUAAUACAUGCAAGUCGAGCGAACGGACGAGAAGCUUGCUUCUCUGAUGUUAGCGGCGGACGGGUGAGUAACACGUGGAUAACCUACCUAUAAGACUGGGAUAACUUCGGGAAACCGGAGCUAAUACCGGAUAAUAUUUUGAACCGCAUGGUUCAAAAGUGAAAGACGGUCUUGCUGUCACUUAUAGAUGGAUCCGCGCUGCAUUAGCUAGUUGGUAAGGUAACGGCUUACCAAGGCAACGAUGCAUAGCCGACCUGAGAGGGUGAUCGGCCACACUGGAACUGAGACACGGUCCAGACUCCUACGGGAGGCAGCAGUAGGGAAUCUUCCGCAAUGGGCGAAAGCCUGACGGAGCAACGCCGCAUGAGUGAUGAAGGUCUUCGGAUCGUAAAACUCCGUUAUUAGGGAAGAACAUAUGUGUAAGUAACUGUGCACAUCUUGACGGUACCUAAUCAGAAAGCCACGGCUAACUACGUG
rnacentral:rRNA from 1 species